rnacentral:rRNA from 1 species
UACGUAGGGUGCAAGCGUUGUCCGGAAUUAUUGGGCGUAAAGAGCUCGUAGGCGGUUUGUCGCGUCUGCUGUGAAAUCUGGGGGCUCAACCCCCAGCCUGCAGUGGGUACGGGCAGACUAGAGUGCGGUAGGGGAGAUUGGAAUUCCUGGUGUAGCGGUGGAAUGCGCAGAUAUCAGGAGGAACACCGGUGGCGAAGGCGGUUCUCUGGGCAUGACCUGACGCUGAGGAGCGAAAGCAUGGGGAGCGAACAGG